rnacentral:rRNA from 1 species
ACGAACGCUGGCGGCGUGCUUAACACAUGCAAGUCGAACGGAAAGGCCCUGCUUUUGUGGGGUGCUCGAGUGGCGAAUGGGUGAGUAACACGUGAGUAACCUGCCCUUGACUUUGGGAUAACUUCAGGAAACUGGGGCUAAUACCGGAUAGGAGCUCCUGCUGCAUGGUGGGGGUUGGAAAGUUUCGGCGGUCGGGGAUGGACUCGCGGCUUAUCAGCUUGUUGGUGGGGUAGUGGCUUACCAAGGCUUUGACGGGUAGCCGGCCUGAGAGGGUGACCGGCCACAUUGGGACUGAGAUACGGCCCAGACUCCUACGGGAGGCAGCAGUGGGGAAUAUUGCACAAUGGGCGGAAGCCUGAUGCAGCAACGCCGCGUGCGGGAUGACGGCCUUCGGGUUGUAAACCGCUUUCGCCUGUGACGAAGCGUGAGUGACGGUAAUGGGUAAAGAAGCACCGGCUAACUACGUG